rnacentral:rRNA from 1 species
GGGGAGAAUAAGGGUUCGACUCCGGAGAGGGAGCCUGAGAAAUGGCUACCACAUCCAAGGAUGGCAGCAGGCGCGCAAAUUACCCACUCUCAGUACGAGGAGGUAGUGACGAAAAAUAACAAUGCGGGACUCAUCAGAGGCCUCGCAAUUGGAAUGAGCGCACUUUAAUUCGUUCGACGAGGAUCUAUUGGAGGGCAAGUCUGGUGCCAGCAGCCGCGGUAAUUCCAGCUCCAAUAGCGUAUAUUAAAGUUGUUGCAGUUAAAAAGCUCGUAGUUGGAUCUGGGGUUCGGGUCGGCGGUUUGCCGCUUCGGCGGCUACUGCCGUGCUCGACUCUUACUAGCCGGUGCGUCUUGCGGUGCUCUUCAUCGAGUGCCGUAGGAGCCUGGCAUGUUUACUUUGAAAAAAUUAGAGUGCUCAAAGCAGGCGAUUCCGCCUGAAUAGUGUUGCAUGGAAUAAUGGAAUAGGACCUCGGUUCUAUUUUGUUGGUUUUCGGAACUUGAGGUAAUGAUUAAGAGGGACGGUCGGGGGCAUUCGUAUUUCGGUGUUAGAGGUGAAAUUCUUGGAUCGCUGAAAGACGGACAAAUGCGAAAGCAUCUGCCAAGAACGUCUCCAUUAAUCAAGAACGAAAGUCAGAGGUUCGAAGACGAUCAGACACCGUCCUAGUUCUGACCAUAAACGAUGCCAACUAGCGAUCCGCAGUGGUUGCUAUAAACGGACUCUGCGAGCAGCUUCCGGGAAACCAAAGUGUUUGGGUUCCGGGGGAAGUAUGGUUGCAAAGCUGAAACUUAAAGGAAUUGACGGAAGGGCACCACCAGGAGUGGAGCCUGCGGCUUAAUUUGACCCAACACGGGGAAACUCACCCGGUCCGGACACUGUAAGGAUUGACAGAUCGAGAGCCCUUUCUUGAUUCGGUGGAUGGUGGUGCAUGGCCGUUCUUAGUUGGUGGAGUGAUUUGUCUGGUUAAUUCCGAUAACGAACGAGACUCUAGCCUGCUAACUAGUUGCGCCGUGUUCAUACGCGGCUGUAGACUUCUUAGAGGGACAGGUGGCGUUUAGCCACACGAAAUUGAGCAAUAACAGGUCUGUGAUGCCCUUAGAUGUCCGGGGCCGCACGCGCGCUACACAGAAGGAGUCAGCGUGUGCUAUCCGGGCUCGGAAGAGUUCGGUAACCCGUUGAAACUCCUUCGUGCUUGGGAUUGUGGCUUGUAAUUAUCGCGCAUGAACGAGGAAUUCCCAGUAAGUGCAAGUCAUCAGCUUGCGCUGACUACGUCCCUGCCCUUUGUACACACCGCCCGUCGCUACUACCGAUUGAAUGGUUUAGCAAGGUACUCGGAUUGGUCUCGAUCUUGUACGAAAGUGCGGGAUCUGUGGCCGAGAAGAAGGCCAAACUUGAUCAUUUAGAGGAAGUAAAAGUCGUAACAAGGUU